GCUUCUCCAGCUCUAGCUCAACUGAGUCCAAAGGUCUGAUCAGCGUUUCCAGUGACACAAGCCAGCAACUCUGACGUCUGCGAGCUGGAGCUCCACCCCAGGCAGGAGGCGGGAACUGACCAGUCUCUGCUCCAGGCGUUUUCGUUGCUGGGGCUUCCUUCCUUCCCUUAAACUUCAAAUGCCUUGAAAUAGUAGAAACGUCUGUUUAUUUAGUAGCUCUUUACUGAAAGGCAUUCUCUGCAGAACAUAGGCUAUGUCACUCAAUUGGUCCAGGACAGGGAAAGACAAUUUCUGAUUAGGGGUAUUAGGAAGGCUUUCUGGACUGCAACGGAGUCCCCCUGGGUGGGGUAAAUGGUUAAGCUCUAUGAGUCAAAAUAGACUGGACAAAAAAACAAAUCCAUUGCUGAGGAGUCAGUUCUGACUCAUGGCAAUCCAUGUGUUACCAAGUGGACCUGCACUCCACAGGGCGUUCAAGGCUGUGACCUUUUGGCAGCAGAUUGGCAGGUCUUUUUUCCGUGAUACUACUGGUUGGUAGUGACGUGCAAAGCAUUUGCACCACCUAGGGACCUACUGACUUGACAGCAACUGGUUUUUUGGUUUUCUGGAUGGUGUGGUUUCAGAGUUUUGCUUUGAAUGACAAAGGGGAUUUCUAUAGGUGGAAACUGGGGAGGGGGAGAGAGGGGGUCUUCUUGGAAGGGGAUACUAUGAGGGAAGGUGGUGGGGCCUCGGUUUAGCCGUUUACUCUCUUUGGGUCUCAAUUUCUUCACCUGCAGAACUGCUGUGAGACAGGCGUGAUAUGUGUGAAGGUGCCUUGUGAAUUGUGAAGGUUUCAGUGUGAGGGAAGGUCAAGAAGAGGAGUCUGGACACCACCCUGUGGACGGGUUUUAGGCUCUGUCAAGUAUGCUACUAUAAAAAGCUACAGACUACAUCUCACAGACUUUGGACAUGUUAUCAGGAGGGAUCAGUCCCUGGAGAAGGACAUCACGGUUGGUAAAGCACAGGGUCAGCAAAAAAGAGGAAGACUCUCAACGAAAUGGAUUGACACAGUGGCUGCAACAAUGGGUUCAAGCAUAACAACAAUUGUGAGGAUGGCGCAGGACCAGCACUUGGCACUGUGCUUUGCAACUGCAGUCCUAAGACGUCGCGGGGAAUCUCGUGGAGAGAAGAGCCCUUUGGAGACGCCUCUGCAGGCAAACCCGACUGGCCCUUCCAGUGCAUGUUCCGACCCAGGCACAGAGGGCGAACCAAGAAGCUGGGGAAACAGCGGGACCGGCCUCGCCCCACCCAGCGCCUCAGUCCCAGCGGCAGUCAGGCCUGCGCAGGCGCAGUGGCUCGCCGAGCGCGUGACGCCAGCGCCUUUGGCUCGAGGACCGCACCGCCCACGGCUCGAGCGGGCGGGGUUGCCGGCGCGUGGGCGGGGACAACGCUGUUCUCGCUCGCUUAUUGGUCCCCCUGCUGACGGACAGGUAGGGCCAGAUGGAUGGAGAAGCAGCUUAGUCAGAAAGAGCUGGUGGUGC